UAAUACGUAGGCAGCAAGCGUUGUUCGGAAUUACUGGGCGUAAAGAGUGUGUAGGCGGUGCUCUAAGUUCGGUGUGAAAUCUCCCGGCUCAACUGGGAGGGUGCGCCGAAAACUGGGGUGCUGGAGCGCGGGAGAGGAAAGCGGAAUUCCUGGUGUAGCGGUGAAAUGCGUAGAUAUCAGGAGGAACACCGGCGGUGUAGACGGCUUUCUGGACCGUAGCUGACGCUGAGACACGAAAGCGUGGGUAGCAAACAGGAUUAGAUACCCUGGUAGUCCACGCCCUAAACGAUGCAUACUUGGUGUCGGCCAUUCAGUUGGUCGGUGCCGGAGCUAACGCGUUAAGUAUGCCGCCUGGGGAGUACGGUCGCAAGGCU
rnacentral:rRNA from 1 species